AGGGAUAUAGUUAAUUAUAACAUUUGAUUUGCAUUCAAAAAGUAUUGAAUACCAAUUAUUCUUA
rnacentral:tRNA from 1 species